rnacentral:siRNA from 1 species
CCAAAGAGAAAACCAGUGGGCAG